AUUGAACGCUGGCGGCAGGCCUAACACAUGCAAGUCGAGCGGAGCGGCGGACGGGUGAGUAAUGCCUAGGAAUCUGCCUGGUAGUGGGGGGUAACGUCCGGAAACGGGCGCUAAUACCGCAUCCUAUCACAUGAGCCUCGCUCGGAUUAGCUAGUUGGUGGGGUAAAGGCCUACCAAGGCGACGAUCCGUAACUGGUCUGAGAGGAUGAUCAGUCACACUGGAACUGAGACACGGUCCAGACUCCUACGGGAGGCAGCAGUGGGGAAUAUUGGACAAUGGGCGAAAGCCUGAUGCAGCCAUGCCGCGUGUGUGAAGAAGGUCUUCGGAUUGUAAAGCACUUUAAGUUGGGAGGCGUUACCAACAGAAUAAGCACCGGCUAACUUCGUGCCAGCAGCCGCGGUAAUUC
rnacentral:rRNA from 1 species